AUUGAACGCUGGCGGCAUGCCUUACACAUGCAAGUCGAACGGUAACGCGGGGCAACCUGGCGACGAGUGGCGAACGGGUGAGUAAUAUAUCGGAACGUGCCCAGUAGUGGGGGAUAGCCCGGCGAAAGCCGGAUUAAUACCGCAUACGACCUACGGGUGAAAGGGGGGAGUCGCAAGACCUCUCGCUAUUGGAGCGGCCGAUAUCAGAUUAGCUAGUUGGUGGGGUAAAAGACUCACCAAGGCGACGAUCUGUAGCUGGUCUGAGAGGACGACCAGCCACACUGGACUGAGACACGGCCCAGACUCCUACGGGAGGCAGCAGUGGGGAAUUUUGGACAAUGGACGCAAGUCUGAUCCAGCCAUGCCGCGUG
rnacentral:rRNA from 1 species